AAUACCCUGGGGUGACAUCUAGCGUUUCUACCCUGAGCCGAUAUCUUUAGACUUUGGUAUCUUCCUGAUAGUGGUGAGUAGGCCCGUUUUACGUGGAAACCUAAAUUAUCAACUGAUGCCAUACUUGAACUCACUGGUUCAAGGAGUCAUGAACAGCGGAUUCAUUUCCGGGGUCUCA
rfam:Succinatimonas sp. CAG:777 genomic scaffold, scf128